AGCAUAUGAAGGUCAGGCUGAAGACCUUACCCGAUUAGCUGAGAGGUGGUGCAUGGCCGUCGUCAGUUCGUACUGUGAAGCAUCCUGUUAAGUCAGGCAACGAGCGAGACCCACGUCCACAGUUGCCAGCAUACCCUCCGGGGUGAUGGGUACACUGUGGAGACCGCCGCUGCUAAAGCGGAGGAAGGAGUGGGCAACGGUAGGUCAGUAUGCCCCGAAUCUCCCGGGCUACACGCGGGCUACAAUGGUUGGUACAAUGGGCAUCUACCCCGAAAGGGGAAGGAAAUCUCUUAAAGCCAAUCGUAGUUCGGAUUGAGGGCUGCAACUCGCCCUCAUGAAGCUGGAAUCCGUAGUAAUCGCGUUUCAACAGAACGCGGUGAAUACGUCCCUGCUCCUU
rnacentral:rRNA from 1 species